AGUGAACGCUGGCGGCGUGCUUAACACAUGCAAGUCGAACGAGAACGGGUUAUAGCUUGCUAUAAUUGUCAGCUAAGUGGCGCACGGGUGAGUAAUGUAUAGGUAAUAUGCCUCUUACUAAGGGAUAACAAAUGGAAACAUUUGCUAAUACCUUAUACUCCUUAUUAACAGAAGUUAAUAAGGGAAAGAUUUAUUGGUAAGAGAUUAGCCUGUAUUGUAUCAGUUAGUUGGUGGGGUAAUGGCUUACCAAGACUAUGACACAUAACUGGUUUGAGAGGAUGAUCAGUCACACUGGAACUGAAACACGGUCCAGACUCCUACGGGAGGCAGCAGUGGGGAAUAUUGCACAAUGAACGAAAGUCUGAUGCAGCAACGCCGCGCGGAGGAUGACACAUUUCGGUGCGUAAACUCCUUUUAUAUGAGAAGAUAAUGACGGUAUUAUAUGAAUAAGCACCGGCUAACUCCGUGCCAGCCGCCGCCGUAA
rnacentral:rRNA from 1 species